CUCCACUGGCAAUGGGCAAAGAGACACCUUACUGGUGGUGGUGUUCUUAUAUCAGUCAAGGGCAGAGCAGAUGGUAAUCCUUUGUUCAUCCUAGCUUGAGCCCUACCUUGAUGGCCAAAGCUAUCCUAUGCCUAGAACUCAUAA